rnacentral:rRNA from 1 species
AACGCUGGCGGCGUGCUUAACACAUGCAAGUCGAACGGUGAUCUUGAGAGCUUGCUCUCGGGUGAUCAGUGGCGAACGGGUGAGUAACACGUGAGUAACCUGCCCCUGACUCUGGAAUAACUUCGGGAAACCGAUGCUAAUACCGGAUAUGACACAGAAUCGCAUGGUUUCUGUGUGGAAAGUUUUUCGGUUGGGGAUGGACUCGCGGCCUAUCAGCUUGUUGGUGAGGUAAUGGCUCACCAAGGCGACGACGGGUAGCCGGCCUGAGAGGGCGAUCGGCCACACUGGGACUGAGACACGGCCCAGACUCCUACGGGAGGCAGCAGUGGGGAAUAUUGCACAAUGGGCGAAAGCCUGAUGCAGCGACGCCGCGUGGGGGAUGAAGGCCUUCGGGUUGUAAACUCCUUUCAGUAGGGAAGAAGCGAAAGUGACGGUACCUACAGAAGAAGCACCGGCUAACUACGUGCCAGCCGCCGCGGUAAUAC